UGAGACUGGAGGCCGUGAUGUCUUCCAAGGAGCAGGGAGUCUUCCUCCUGUCCCGCACUCACAGAAGGGGCAUUGCGGGCACGUUCCUAGAUGGAGAAGCACUGCUCAGAGCACGCAGUUCAUCUUUCUUCGCUGCAAUAGGAAUUCUGCCACAGGAUGCUUCCCAUCCAGUCAUAGGUUGCCAUUGCUCUCAGUGGCCCUUGACAAUGUAGACUUUGACAAGUACCACGUGAGUUAUCUCUGAGCCUGGAGGGGAUCUGUGGAUGUGUUUCUCUUCUUCAGCAUUUCUGGAUUGAAGCUGGUGGGGGAGUCCUUCUCUCCAGCAUUUCACCUACAACUGGAAGACAGCACUGGGUCUCGAGAGAAAGAUGUUAAACUACUUCAAGAAAUUGUUAACCAAUGCAUGGACAGGAGCAUUGCAUUAACUCAGGCUCGCUACCUGGAGGAAGAAGAGAAGUGCCUCCCUCCUCCAAGCAUUAGGGUUGUGGUCACAGUGGAACAAACAGAAGAAGAACUGGAGAAAGCCGCAUCCGUCAUCAAGGAGGUGGCCCAAGAAGUCUUGCUGUAGCUGAGUCCCAGGACCCAGUGGCCUCCUGCUACCCAACAUGCUGAUGGCAGUUUUCAGAGACCUCCCACUGGCCAGGGAGUGACCUAAUGAGAGCACCUGAAUAUUUGAUAAUGUUGUUACCAAAUGGUGUGGAGAUGGACUGAGUGUGUGACCCUGAGAAGGAUGCUUCUUAUUUUAACAAAGAAAACACAUCUAAAAGCCCGGGAACUGAUCUUUUUAAGAGGAAAACUAAUGACAGCGUAUAACUGGUAUUUAAAUUGUGCUGUUUAGUACUAUUUAAAGGUUUUAUUAUACUAGUAUUUUAUAUCCUUUUUUGUUGUGGUCAUUUAAAACUGGAGCUUUAGUUUCUCUUCUCUCCCUUGUAAUAGUAACAAUUCCAUAAGCACUCCCUAACUAAUGAAUACUUCAUAGAAAAAACAGCUUAGCAGCAUUAAAGCCAAGAGGAACACGUCAGCAUAUGAGACACAAAAUUUAUUAGUGAAGAUCUAAUUCAACCACAUCUUUUCCAGUCUUCAUCAUACGGAACUAAAUGGUGGCAAAAAAGAACACUACUUAUGUGAUUAUUAUAAACUUCAUUAUAAUAUAUUUGAAUCCUAGGAUUUUUAUAUAAACUAAAUAUUGAUGUUAUACCAUUUCUAAUCUCAGCCUCCGUAACCAGAGAAUAUUCAUUAUGCUUCCUAAUUGAGCAAUAAUUUAACUCAAAUACUAUUUUAUUUUAAUAUAAUUGACUCUUACAUGAUUAUAUGUUUCCAAUCUAUUUUACGAAGAGGGUUAUUCUGUUGAUCACAAAAUAUAAAUCAUGUUCUUCAUAUUUUAGAGUAUCUCAAAUGUAUUCUUUUUUUGUAUGGUGUGUUUUCUUAGAGAGUAUAACUACAGGCUUUUUCUUAGCUAAAAAAAAAUGAGAAUUUUUUUCUUUUCAGCUUAAGAAUUCCAAAUACGGGAGUCCCUCCUUAUCUGAAGUUUUAGUUAUCCAUGGUCAACCGUGGUCUGAAAAUAUUAAGGGGAAAUUUUCAGAAAUAAACAAUUCAUAAGUUUUAAAUUGAGCACCAUUCAGAAUAGCGUGACGAAAUCUCUUGCUGUCCCAUCUGGGACGUGAACCACCCUUUUGCCCAGUGCAUUCACACUGUACACACCACCCACCUGCUAGUCACUUAGUAAUUGAAAAGACGGUGUAUCUACAGUUCAGUGCUAUCUGCAGUUUCAGGCAUCCACUGGGGGUCUUGGAACGCAUCCCCACACAUGAGGAGGACUACUGUACCUAAAAAAGAUGUGAAAGCACUAAAAAUAAAAUUUUUAAGCUGUAUUUUACCCGUUUUUUUCUUUAGCAAACCAAUUUAAGUGGUAUUAAAGGUUGGUGAUAUUUGCCACAAGAUAGCACAUAAAUAUUACACCGUUAUUCCUUCUCUUAUUAAUGUUCAGUUUCUAUUUGCUUGAGGUAUUCCGUACAUAUGUGCCUUGUGAUUGCUGCUGCUUUAAAGGAUUCUGUACUCUCUAGGGGAUGAAUGUUUUGUUUCAUUCUGUUUUUUAAUGAAAUAAACCUACAUUCCUGAU